AGGCUUGUGGCGCAACGGCUAACGCGUCUGACUACGGAUCAGAAGAUUCCAGGUUCGAAUCCUGGCAAGCUCG
rnacentral:tRNA from 1 species